CAUUUAAGUGUAUUUGUUCAUAACAAGUUCCUUAAAAAGAGGAACUACCCUUGUGAGUUUCCCCUAGGUGCUCAAACACUGUCCUGCUCUGAAUCUGAGGGCUGGUGAAGGAUGGACUACAACCUGAGAACUGCAUUUUAUGCAGCUGUGAGCACAGGAGGCAAAACUAACUACACACUUGCUCCAGACUGGUUUAGCAAUGCUGAUGGGAGUGCACACUACUACCAAACUGCUAAACUGAGCUAAACCAUGGGAAGACUGGUGAUUUGUUUUGUCAUGAUAUCUUGUACUUGCCCUUCAGACAUUUCCAAGAAAAGAGCCAUGUCUGGCUCGUGGCCUUUACUAUCUGGUCCUGCCACACGUAUUUAAAAACAAGAUUAUGUGGUAUGUAUGUAGGUGCAGACAGGUGUCAAGGAAGAUACUCAACAGAAUCUAUAUAUCAGUUCUUAUCUUUCAGUUCCAACUGGAAUUAGAUUCUGGGCUACUUCUCCACUUCAACCCUUGCAAUACUGCAGUGAGAAAAGGCUUAAUUAGAGCGAAGACUGGGUGGAAGAAUAAAGGCUCAUUAAUCAAGUGGAUACCUCGAACUUUCAGUGGAAAGGAAUCCUGUCAGCAAUCAUGGAAAACAGAGUAAGAAAAAGAAAAUAUUAUUGAAACACCUCUAUUACUAAGGACAAGCCUGUAAAAACUGUCUAAUCCACAGGUUAAAGUAUUUCUUCUGACCUUGCCAAUUCCUGCAUUUUGUAGUGUUCUAACAGUGUAAAUUAAGAAUAACGUUUAGAAAAUUCAUAUCUUGUUCCUCCCAUUAGAGGGAAAAAUCUCACCAUUUUUUUCAUCUCAGUAUGAGGUGAGAUUGAAUAUUAAAAACAAACAGAAAAACAAAAAAGAAAACUAGCACCAAAUUGCACAUAAAUAUCGUACACAAACUUUGUGCUCAGCCUUUCUUCUAAAGUACAGUUUUUCACAAGAUUCUGCUACUAAUUUACAAAAAGGCUAUCUAGCUAUGUGCUUUUAUUGGCAAUUUGCAGCCUGAAAGAAAAUAUGUAAAUAUAUAUAAACUAUUGAAGAUACUAACUUUAAGUUAAAUAAGUUAUAUUUAUAAUUUGGAGAUAAGCCUUGAAAUUACUAGGAAUUUGGCCAAGCCAGAAGUUCAUCUUUACAACAAGAUUAUGGUUUUAAUGAAAUUUUUAAAAUAUCUGCUCUACAGCCUUUAUAAUAUGAAACAAUUUGGUUUCAACUUGCGUUCAUUUAAAAGUUCCAGAUCUUUGAAGUUUAAAAGAAAAUAUGGCAGUGCUUAAAACAAGCAGUGGGGAAAGCAGAGCUUCUUCCCUUCAUAUCCCACCUGAUACUACAUCUGAACCAGAUUAUUUUCUGCUUAUAAAAGUGGUACUUCUCACAAACGUAUCUCCUUACUAAUUCAGUAGUUCUAAGGAACAAAAAACUCAAAGCAAACACAUUUCUUUAGUUCUAUUCCUUUUAGAUUUUAAUGUAUGAUAGACCUUAAAUUUUCAGCUUCUAUGUCUACUUAAUGUUAUUAUGAAUUAUCAUAUACUUAAAGUCUACUGUCAUGAUUUUCACAAAACCAUUUUCUGCCUGAGAUAACAGAUUUUUCAAGAUAAUGUCACUUAUUAUUCAUACCAUGCUUUCCAUUCCUUAAUACAUACAUCCUUUCUAUUAACUUCCUUUCUAUUAACUUCUGUUUCUUGACGCAGUGUUUGCAAGACACUUUUAUUGAGUAAAACACAGGGUGAAAACUAAGGUUUCUUAACUUUUACUUAUAAGCAUAUUCUGGAGUGCAUUAGGCAUGUCCUGGGGUGUAUCAGGCACAGCAUCUCCAGCUGGGCAAGGGAGGACAUUGUCCCACUCUGCUCUGCACUGGGGUAGCCUUACCUUGAAUACUGGGGGCAAUUUUGGGCACCAUAGUAUAAAAAAGGCAUUAAGCUAUUAGGGAGCUUCAAAUGAGGGCCAGGAGGAUGGUGAAGAGUGUGGAAAAGUCAUGUGAGGAGCAGCUGAGGUCACUGGGUCUGUUGAGCCUGGAGAAGAUGAGACUGAGGAGAAAGCUCAUCACAGUCUGCAAUUUCCCUGUGAGGGGAAGAGGAGGGGCAGAGCUCUUCACUCUCCUGACCAGAGACAGGACCCAAGGAAAUGGCCUGAAGUUGUGUCAGAGGAGGCUUAUGCUGGAUAUAAGGGAAAAAUUCAUCACCCAGAGGGUGGUUGAGCACUGGAACAGGCUCCCCAGGGAAGUGGUCACAGCUCCAAGCCUGACAAGAGCUUGAGAAGUGUUUGGACAAUACUCUCAGCCACGUGGUGUGACUCUUGGGAUGUCCUGCAUAGGGCCAGGAGUUGGUUGAUGAUGAUUCUGAUGAAUGCCUUCCAACUUAACAUAUUCUUUGGUUCCAUGAUAUUGAACAACACUAACAAUCUCUGGAUAAAAUAUACAAACCCAAUUAUAAGUGAGGAAAGGAAUCUGCGAGCAAAAAAAAAAAAAACAAACAAAAAAACCAAAAUAAACCAGUUACAAUUCUUUCUCUUCUUAGAAAAUAAUACUGGAAACAGACAAUUUUAAAUUUUUCUUCUUCCAUAGCUAGAAUAAGCAUUUAGAAGUUUGAUAAACAUUGAACAAAUCACAAAUAGGUCAAGAUGGAAACAUAGUCAAAGUAUUUCCUUCUUAGAGAUAACAGAUGGAAACUUUCAGAUAUGCUUGCAAAUCCUAUUCUGCUUCCUUUCUGCUCUAUUUCAAAGUUAAAAAAAUUACCAGCAAUCUGUUUAUUACCACAGAAAUCAACUGAAACUCUCACUAGUCCUGUUUUCAUGAGAUUUGGCCCAAGACUGCAUAACACCAAGAGUACUUAUUCAAGAUGUGCGAAGUUGGGAACACCUAAUCGUUUCAAUUAAGUUUUACAGUAGACACCAGAAAAGAAGAACAUCUGAAGUUUUGAUGAUAUUAAUUCAAUGACUAAGCUUUGACUGAAUCUCAGAUAUGAACUGGACCAAAUCAGAGCAAGAGAUUAUCUCCCUGGCUCAUUUCCACAUCACAGGAUAACAGUUUUAUUAUUACUGACUUUCAACAUAACCUCUGAAGGAAAAUAAGAUUAUAGAACUACACUGUAGCUUGCCUGUCAAUUCUCUGUCCCCUUUUUUCCUUAUUUUUUUCUCUCUCAAAUCCAGUAGCAAAGUUCAACUGAAUUUGGUGGAAAGGAAUAAGCCUAAAAACAGUAAAAUCCUGAGAAGUUUUGUGAAAAAUAGGAGGUGAGGUAGCAGUGAUUUGCACAAAACAAUGCUCAUGUUGUGGGGAAGAAAGCAAGUACAUAAACUUUAUACAUUCUGUUGUUAGCAGAUGGAAGAUCACAUAAGCAUCGUCCAUACUGGUAACAAGUUAGGAGUGUCUUGCUCUUAAUUGCUCACAAUGCAUGCUAUUUUUAAUAUUCUCUGAGCCAGGAAUAAAUGCUUUAAAUAUUGAGAUAAUGCACAAAAGAAUGGAAGAGAAGAGGAUAACAGGAUAACAAACAGAGAUCUUUCCAAAACUGGGCUUCAUCUGCUCCUCCAGUCAUGAAAUUCUUGUGUUGUAACAGGUUGGUGGAAUUCUUCUAAAAUACCAGAAGUUGGAGGGCAUUUACUGCUAUAGAAGAAUAAACUUUAAGUAAAAUGAAGCAGAACUUGUAAUGCAUUUAGGAUUUUGUUGUACUUAGCUGCAUAGUCUGAAAAGGCCUACAGAAGGGAAAUUUACUAUGGCUUGGAAGAGCUGAAAAAUUGGAAGCCACAGCAAUGAAGAUGCAUAAAGAAUUAUGUCAUACUUACUGUAAGAACAGCAGCAAUUUUCUUGGCCACUGCUGGACUAAUCUGGAAAGCAUGAGCAAAUCUCCAUCCUUGAAGGUCAAAGAUGGCCUUGACUCCAUUUCGCUGAGUCUCGAUCUCCCUUACAAUGAGUUCAGAUGUGAUGAGACUUACACGAAACACAUCAUAUGCUGUAAAUAAACUGGGAUCCCAUUGUCCUGAAGAGAAGAUAGAUUACCCUGCAUUACCAUGGGAAACCCCAUACGCAUGCACUUUUUCUUCCUACAGCUUCUAAUGUGCUUCUCAGGAACAAGAGUUGAACAGCAAGAACAAAGUUCCUGAAAUAAACUGUUUUGUCUGAGUUA